GAUGAACGCUAGCGGGAGGCCUAACACAUGCAAGCCGAGCGGUAUUGUUUCUUCGGAAAUGCGAGAGCGGCGUACGGGUGCGUAACACGUGUGCAACCUGCCUUUAUCUGGGGGAUAGCCUUUCGAAAGGAAGAUUAAUACUCCAUAAUAUAUUGAACGGCAUCGUUUAAUAUUGAAAGCUCCGGCGGAUAGAGAUGGGCACGCGCAAGAUUAGCUAGUUGGUGAGGUAACGGCUCACCAAGGCGAUGAUCUUUAGGGGGCCUGAGAGGGUGAUCCCCCACACUGGUACUGAGACACGGACCAGACUCCUACGGGAGGCAGCAGUGAGGAAUAUUGGUCAAUGGGUGCAAGCCUGAACCAGCCAUCCCGCGUGAAGGACGACUGCCCUAUGGGUUGUAAACUUCUUUUGUAUAGGGAUAAACCUACCCUCGAGAGGGUAGCUGAAGGUACUAUACGAAUAAGCACCGGCUAACUCCGCG
rnacentral:rRNA from 1 species